CCAAACUGAAGCGUGGGGAGAAGGUGAAGAGUGCAUCCCAAUCUGGAUCCGCGUUUGUCCCAAACUGAAGCGUGGCGAGAAGGAGAUCACCAACUAUGUCAAUCUAAACCGUAAACGUAUAGGGGAACACAUCAAAAUAAAAAUUGUCCCUCAUCUCACUCGACUCACCACAGAAUAUGCAAGAUUUAAAACAGCCACAUUCUCUCGUCUAGCACCAUUGGAGAAACGGUAUUUUAUUGCGAGCCAAGAGAUAAAAGCAAGCUUUGGAACUUCUUGGGAGAACCAGAUUACUCGCGACCAACUUACCUUUACUCUGCGGCUUCGUAUUUUCUCCCGUGAAAUAGUGUCGGUAAGCGUCUGUUCCAUGCUUCCACGUUACUCUGUCAUUACCAACAUGUGGGUUAGGUAAAAGGAGAGGCCAUGAUCUUGUGACAAGAUUCUUGUCUAUGAUUCUCGUCAGUUGCAAAUUUCUGCCUCGACGAAACUGCCAAGUAUUAUUCACAACCUCUAUUACCAUAGCAUCUCUCCUCAGCCCAACAAUAUCAGGAGGAUUUAGAGGCAUCGUUG